UACGAAGGGGGCUAGCGUUGCUCGGAAUCACUGGGCGUAAAGGGUGCGUAGGCGGGUUUUUAAGUCAGGGGUGAAAUCCUGGAGCUCAACUCCAGAACUGCCUUUGAUACUGAAGAUCUUGAGUUCGGGAGAGGUGAGUGGAACUGCGAGUGUAGAGGUGAAAUUCGUAGAUAUUCGCAAGAACACCAGUGGCGAAGGCGGCUCACUGGCCCGGUACUGACGCUGAGGCGCGAAAGCGUGGGGAGCAAACAGG
rnacentral:rRNA from 1 species